rnacentral:piRNA from 1 species
UUCAACUCAGUUCUACCAUCCAAGUU